GCGUGAGAAUCUAACGAUUGGUUCGGGACAACCACUGGAAACGGUGGCUAAUACCGGAUAAGCCUAAUGGUGAAAGAUUAAUUGCCAAUUGAAGAGCUCGCGUCUGAUUAGCUAGUUGGUGGGGUAAGAGCUUACCAAGGCAUCGAUCAGUAGCUGGUCUGAGAGGACGAGCAGUCACACUGGGACUGAGACACGGCCCAGACUCCUACGGGAGGCAGCAGUGGGGAAUAUUCCGCAAUGGGCGAAAGCCUGACGGAGCAAUACCGCGUGAGGGAGGAAGGCUCUUGGGUUGUAAACCUC
rnacentral:rRNA from 1 species